AUUGAACGCUGGCGGCAGGCCUAACACAUGCAAGUCGAGCGGAUGAAGGGAUCUUGCUCCUGGAUUCAGCGGCGGACGGGUGAGUAAUGCCUAGGAAUCUGCCUGGGAGUGGGGGAUAACGUCCUGAAACGGGCGCUAAUACCGCAUACGUCCUGAGGGAGAAAGUGGGGGAUCUUCGGACCUCACGCUAUCAGAUGAGCCUAGGUCGGAUUAGCUAGUUGGUGGGGUAAAGGCCUACCAAGGCGACGAUCCGUAACUGGUCUGAGAGGAUGAUCAGUCACCCUGGAACUGAGACAGGGUCCAGACUCCUACGGGAGGCAGCAGUGGGGAAUAUUGGACAAUGGGGGAAAGCCUGAUCCAGCCAUGCCGCGUGUGUGAAGAAGGUCUUAGGAUUGUAAAGCAAUUUAAGUUGGGAGGAAGGGCAGUAAGUUAAUACCUUGCUGUUUUGACGUUACCAACAGAAUAAGCACCGGCUAACUUCGUG
rnacentral:rRNA from 1 species